AGAGUUUGAUUCUGGCUCAGGAUGAACGCUGGCGGCGUGCCUAACACAUGCAAGUCGAGCGGAAAUCCAAAUGUACUCGUACAGGCGGUAUUUAGCGGCGGACGGGCGAGUAACACGUGAGCAACCUGCCUUUUUGCUGGGGAAUAACAUUGGGAAACCAGUGCUAAUACCGCAUGACGUCAUAGGGGGACAUCCCCUGGUGACCAAAGGAGAAAUCCGGCAGAAGAUGGGCUCGCGUCCGAUUAGUUAGUUGGCGGGUAACGGCCCACCAAGACCGCGAUCGGUAGCCGAACUGAGAGGUUGAUCGGCCACAUUGGGACUGAGACACGGCCCAGACUCCUACGGGAGGCAGCAGUGGGGAAUAUUGGGCAAUGGGGGAAACCCUGACCCAGCAACGCCGCGUGAAGGACGAAGGCCUUCGGGUUGUAAACUUCUUUGAUCAGGGACGAAGGCAAUGACGGUACCUGAAGAACAAGCCACGGCUAACUACGUGCCAGCCGCCGC
rnacentral:rRNA from 1 species